UUCUGAAAGAUCAGCAACAUUUCUGAAACUAGACAAAUUCCUCGAAGUUGAACUGCAAAUCCUUUUAGGAGUGGAAGAUGAUAUUCAGUGGAUCAAGGAUGAGCUCAAAGGCAUGAAAGUGUUCCUAAAUAUUGCUGAUAAAAAAAGAGAGACAGGUCAAUUGGUGGGCACUUGGGUUGGACAAGUGCGAGAUGUGGCCUACGGUACUGAGGAUAUCCUUGACAUAUUCCUCCUCCAAAUUGCAAGUAUGCGAAGGAGGAGGAGAGGAUUUGCAGGCUGUUUGAUCUCACGUGUUUCCUCUACUAAGGAACAUCACAUCAAGCAUGGGUUGCAACUAAGAUACAGAGUAUUAAAGCUCGUGUCGAUGACAUUGGCAAGAGAAGGAACAAGCUCAACCUUCAAAUGCUUUGGCAAGCAGACGUUGUUGGAAUUGAGGGGAAAGUGAAAUUAGUGAAAGGAUGGCUGCUAGACUGUGACCAACAACUCAAGGUAAUCUCUAUCUUAGGCAUGGGUGGAUUAGGGGAAACUAUUCUUGCCAAAAGAAUUUGUUAAGAAACUGUUUGUUCGUUGUUCAUUGGUUACCAUAUCACAAUCAUUCAACAAAAUAGAGAAUUUGAAUGCUAUUCUAAGAGGAUUCGAUAAACAUCAUGUAGAGAAAAAGAAAUAGGGCAUUUGCAAAAAAACCUAUAUGCACAUGUACAAGACAAUAGGUGCCUUGUGGUGUUAGAUGAUGUGUGGAAGGAGGAUAUGUGGGGAGUGGUGCACAAUGACGGAAGCAAAUUCACUAUAAAAUAUCGUACUUUUGAAGUCAUUUCACCAUUGUGCAUAUUGAGCAAAGUCUAUCGGCUGGAACAAGUAACAACAUAAGAAGCAUGGUCUCUCUUUUGCAAGAAGGUAUUAUUUUGGGGGGGAGAAUGGUAACUCAUGUCUGUUGAAAUUGGAGGAAGUUGUGAGGCUCAUUGUUAAGGAAUGUGAGGGUACCCCCUUGUAAUUGUGGCCAUUGGAAGAAUGACGUUUCAGAAACCCAAAACGAUUGAUGCUUGGGAUAGGGUUUACCGUAGUGUUGGAUGAAAACUAGAUAGGCAUAAAGAUGUGAGGAGCAUUCUUAUACUAAGUUAUCAGGAUUUAUCACCUUUUCUAAAGUACUGUUUUUUAUAUUGUUGCUUGUUCUAAGAAGACUAUGAGAUUUCCCGUUCAAAGUUGAUUAGACUAUGGGCUGAUGGGGGAUUCCUUGAAGGAAAGAGAUGAAUAACAAAUAUGGAAGUAUCCGAUGAUUGCUUUAAAGAGUCGCUAGAUCGGAGCUUGAUUCACAUGGCAAAAACCGGUAAGACUGGGAAGGUCAAAGCCAUUCAUGUCCACGAUGUGGUAUGAAAACUUGGUCUUUCGUUACUAGAGAAAGAGUGGUUUGGAACAUUUUGGAAUUGGAAAAAUAUCAGAUUUGAGGGUAGAAUUCCGCACAUCUCUAUCCAAAAUGAUGUUUCAUCUCUGUUAUUCCUCUUUUUCUUUCUAUGAAUCCCUCUCUAUAUAGUCUAAUCAACUUUGAAUGGGGAAUCUCAUAGUCUUCUGGGAACAAGCAACAAUAUAGAAAACAAUACUUCAGAAAAGGUGAUAAUUCCCGGUAACUUAGUGUCAGAAUGCCCCUCACAUCCUUAUGCAUAUCUAGUUCCAUGUAAGACUACGGUGAACCCUAUCCCAAGCAUCAAUCAUUUUAGGUCUUUCGAAUAUCAUUCUUCCAAUACCUCACUGCCCAUAGUCCAAAAUGAUAGGACUCCGUACAUUGCAGGUUUCAUAUUGUAGGGGUUGCCUCAGGGCUGCCAAUACCUCACUGCCCUUGAAGACUUGCAUCUUGGGGAGAUGGGUGAAGGAUUGUGAGCCUAUUAAAGAGAUUCAGGUGAAGAACGUCUCAAAGUGCAACAGCAACACAUCCCCUCUGUUCGGCUUUGCCACAUAAAAGAUGAGGAAUUCGUUUGUGAACCUUUUGUAGAGGUGGGGAACAGGUUUAAUGGAGAUUUGUAGAAAGCGUUUGUUCCCUCCUCAAGCUCAAUGGUACUUCUCUGCCUUCAAUGUCCUUCAAAAUAGAGGCUAUUCAUUAUUUAGUACCCUAUCCAUCCUUCUAGUUCUUUUUCUUGGACCAUGUUCUCCUUUGCUGGCCUUUGUAGGCUACAGAUGCUUGUGUUUCUUACCAGUCUCUUAUUACUAUCCCAUCUCACAAUGCUCGAAGGUUUUGAACCUGUAAUGAGAGUUAGACGCAGCCAUGUAUUUUACAGCUCAAAUGCAGAUGACAUGUUUCCCCUCUAAAGUUAAUCUUUAUGCUGUUCGAUUGGCUUAGUGUAUUUUGAUUUUGAAUAAAUUUAGACAUUUCUCCAUCCAAGGUAAAUGGUAAGAAGCAAGAAAAAAAUAAUAAUCUGAUCAUGCUGUUAAGGUAGUUGAAAGUGAUUACCUAUGGCAGUAAUUGGCUGGUUCAGAAUGAAUUUAUCCCUUUUGAUAAUUGAGUCCUUCUGAUUAUUGAUUAAUUAUUUGCAUUACCCUUCAAUUGCUGUUAAUAUACGAUAUAGGCCGCUUGUAACAAUCCUAAACUUU